CCUUCUGAAGGGGAGUGAUGUUGUUCUGUGUGGGGAGAUGCUUGAAGCCUUCUGAUGAGGACAGGGUUUGCAGCUGUAGAGCCCAGAGUAAAACUGAGAGCAAAGGGAACCAGGACAUUUUGUCUCAGCAAACCUCUCCUGAGGGUUGGUACAAAAAGAGUGAAGAAUGCUGUGUCCAAUAAGGUAGAAGAGAAAUAUCUACAGAACCAGAUGUCUACUGCAAAUACCUUUUGUGAAAUGGUCCAUGGGCUAUUUGAUCAUGUACAUUUUAGUUCUAUACCUCAACAGACACAUGUUGGUAUUUAACCUGGACCAAGAUUAUUUUUUCAAGGGACAUAGUUCUCCUGGUGAAUUCUCUGCACCUGGGAUCUUUCCUCUGCAAUUCUCCUUCUCAGUCUAAGAGAUGGUUCUGCAAAGUGUCUGUCUCAGCUGGCAUCUAAACUAUUGCAUUCAGUCGGAGCUAUUGUCUCAUGAAUGUGAACAUUCCUGCAUUUUAUCAGCUCCGAAUGUAGAAGGCAACUCACAGAUCACACAUAGAAAGGAUUUUUCAAAGUUUGAAAACUGCUUUUUAAAAAAGCUAGACCCUAAUGACUCGAGAUAUUAUUUGUGCGUGCCUGUAGGCUGAAUCAACACUUGGCCUAUCAGAACGUACACAGAGCAGCGUCUCUUUCAAGGUCUUAAACAGCUUUGAUUGAAUCUUCGUGUACCUUAAAUUGAUAAUGCAAGCAGACUGUAAUACACAAUAUUCAUAACAAUGGAAUACAUCUUCAUUUGUAAAUACACACUUUUGUGCCAAGUUAGCACAUAUUCAGGGAUGUCUCAGCCACUUAUCGACGUGGCAGCAGCCUGGUGUUGUUGCUCUGCUGUGACAAAUAUUGCUGCUGCUCUGGAGGUGGGGAAACUGAGGCAGGUGCAGGUUAAAAGAUUCACUUGGGGCUGUAAGGCCGGCACUGAUAGUGUGGAAAGGGUUGUUGGCAUCAGCCCAUUAGGCAGUCUGUGAGUCACUCCCUUGGACCUGGUGAUGCUUAUGUCUAUGGAGAAAACGCCUACUGUAGAGAGAUGUUGAGAUUUUUGCCUGUCCUUGACACCAGUAGAAAUUAGAUGUUUGCCCUUGAGCACCCAUACAAAGAGAUUGGUUACUCUUUG